rnacentral:rRNA from 1 species
AUGGCUGACAAGUGCGGCAACUGCGACUGUGCCGACAAGACCCGGUGCGUGAAGAAGGGCGACAGCUAUGGCGUCGUCAUGGUUGACACCGAGAAGAGUGGGAUAGGCUGCUGUCCUCGUUGGGUAGAAUGUCUACCUCGCCCUAAUUUGAUCUGUGUGUCGUGCCUGUGUUUCGAUGCUGGUAAAUUGCCAGAAUCCAGCAAUAGAUGUUAA